rnacentral:rRNA from 1 species
UACGUAGGAGGCAAGCGUUGUCCGGAAUUACUGGGCGUAAAGCGCGUGUAGGUGGUGGGACAAGUCUGCUGUGAAAGCGCCUGGCUUAACCGGGCGAGGUCGGCGGAAACUGUCCGACUCGAGGACGGUAGAGGGGGGUGGAAUUCCCGGUGUAGUGGUGAAAUGCGUAGAGAUCGGGAGGAACACCUGUGGCGAAGGCGGCCCCCUGGGCCGGCCCUGACACUCAGGUGCGAAAGCCAGGGGAGCGAACGGG